GUAAAGCACUUGCCCAGCAUGUUCAAAGCCUUUGCUGUUGGGUACAGUUGAUCCACAUAAUAGGAAAACAAGACAAAUUUUUUUUAAAUUUUUUUUUAAAAACAUUUAACAUGCAUUUAAAAAUGUGUAUUGGCUUUGGUAACACAUAUGCUAAAAUCAGAAUGCCACAGAGAAAGCUGUUAAUUUUUAACAAAGGGAUUAAUUUUGGAAAGUUACAUCCAAAUUGAGUUCUUAAUAUUUUUGUGCUUAUAGAGAUGAAAGAAUAUCAUCACUGUAACUCAAGCAACAAGGACCAGUAGAAUUCUGUUGCUAGCUCAAUACAUAGUUUCAAUUUUCCUAGUAGCCAUAUUAAGAAAGACGAAAUUAAUUUCAACAAUACAGUUGUUUAGCCCAGUGUAGUUAAAAUAUUGUUAUUUCAAUAUGAGCCAUAUAUUUUUAAAACAUAUACGGCUGGUGUAAUGGCUCAACUAAUAGAAGUUUGUCACCAAACCUGACUUCCUGAGUUCAACUCCCAAGACUUACAAGGCAGAUGGAGAGAACCGACUCCUGCAAGAUAUCCUCUGUCCUACGCCCAUCCACCAAGGUAUUCAAGGUUCAAGCGUGAGCACAUGAGUGAACACACAUACAUACACACGAGUAAAAUAAAAAUAGGUACAAUUUCUAAUGAAUGAGGUAUUUUACAUUUUGUAUUAGAUUGAAUCUAGUAUGCAUUUUAUACUAACUGUUAUGGGUUCAGGAAUAGCCUCACACUGACCACUUGAACACCGGGCUCAGACUGAUGGAAGUUUAUUGAACGCUGAAUGAAGACUGACCGGUCAGGGGCAUAAUCUGGGCUCAGGAGCCAGACUGUGACGUCAGUCUGUUUCUAAGACAUUUUAUAGGAAAAACUGUAACCAGGUAACAAUCAAGUAACCAGGUAUAGGAAGCAGGGGGUGGGGGGUGAUCAGCAUUACAUCAUUUUGACUAGCUAAAUAUAAUAGAUUUUGUUCCAAGUGUGUUGUAUCUAGGUAGCUAGACAAAACAUUUUAAGCUGAUUGGCUAGGCUAGAGGCUUGGAGACUUUCCAGUUCCCCACCAUUCGGGGAGAAAGGGCACAGCAGAAUGAUGUUGCGAUCUUAAAUCUAAUAGAACAUACAUUUAUCUUUAACUGAAGCAGAACAUGCAUUUAUCAUCUAUUGUUUUAUUCUAGGCAGCAAGUAUUGAACUAUUGAAUUGUAUUCUGGUCUCAGGCAUGUGGGGGACUGAGAACCUGAACUCUAUCUCACCUUGCUAUCAAAAUGGAGACUUGGAGGCAAAAUGGCUUCUGAUAUGCUAAAGGAGAUAGCAGGUGUUAACAGAGGAGCUACAGUUAUGCUAAGAGCUAAAGUGGGUCCCAAAGGAGGGUCUAUAGAAUUUAAGCAGGUUAAACAGGUUACAACACUAACAAUGUACCUCAUUUUAAGACUGCACACCCAAAAGGGAUCUUUCAGUGCUAAUGGAUCUAAAUCUGUAACAUACAGGAUUUUUUCUUUUCUUUGACAGGGUCUUUUAAAGGUAGUGCAGGCUGACAACAACCUUGAACUUAUAACCCUUCUGCCUUUACUUUCUAACAUCUGGGAUUGAUUACAGGUGUGUGGCACUAUUUAUUAAGUGCUCGGGAAUGAACCCAAACAUGCUAAGCAAGUGCUUAUGUUGAGCUGCUCCCUGAAGCCCACAUACAGGAUCUUAGUAAGAUUCUGAAGAUUCCAAAUUAAGAGAACGAUGGAGUAAAGAAGAGGAAGAAACAACUCAGGAAGGCACCAGGUACCCAAAAAGCAGUUGGUUGCUACACAGAUGAAGGCCUCAGAGGAACAAGGAGCAAGAUAAACCUGGGGGCUCGAAGAAUGGAAAAAGAGUUAUAAAAACAGGAAAUUGAAUGAAAGGCAAAGACUAAAAUUUGAUUCUUAUUCCCUAGAAAAAUGAUGCCUGUUGCCAAAACUAAGCUGACUGGCUAGUUUCUGGAGAGCAUGGGCACAUAACUUUGGUCACUAUUGAUCAAGGUCCCACUCUGCUUCUCAGCACAAGGAUUGUAAUUUGUCAGGUAACCCAGAGCUGUCCCUACUCAGUACAAAUGCUGAGCUACUCAGGAAUCCAGUAGGAAAUCCAAACACUGAUUUACUGACACAUGGAGGUACUCCGUCCCAGAGAUUUAUGAUUUAUACCCCCUUUUCUGAUCACCUUACUCAUCUUAAAGAUGAGCACACAGAAGUGGGUAAGUAUAAGAUUAAAAUGGAAUUGGGUUCACUCCAGGGAGCCAUCACUCAGACUGCCCCACUGUAGAACUCCUUUGUGACAGGAAUGAGACACAGGCUAUAAGCUAGCCCAGUGGUCCCAUCCAUGAAUACACUGACAGUUAAUUACUGCCUAAUGCCUUUACUAUUCACUUCAUACUAGAGGUUCCUGGGGGUUCACAGACAGAUUUGGGGUUUUGUUGUUUAUUAUUAAGGGGAGGGGUGGGAUUGGGUGUUUUAUUUUUGUUGUUUUGUUUUGUUUGAGAUAGGGUCUACCUAUUUAGGUCAGGCUAGCCUUAAAGUCAUAUCCUCCUGUCUCAGCCUUGCAGGGCUGGAAUUACAGGAAUGUGCCCCUACAUCUGGCCCACAAAUUUUUUUUUGCUAAUUUGUUUUGAACUUGUAUUGUCAUUUCUGGCUUCUUUAGGAAAAUCUUCUGACACUAGGUUCGAAGUCACCAGAAACAGCGUCAGUAAAAUUUUUUCCUUAAGAGAGAUAUAAACAAAAUCUACCCGUCCUCUUAAAGUCCCAAAGCCACAUGGAGGAAUGAGUGUACUAACAUUGGCUCUGGGGAACCAAUGAAUUUAUUGGGUUUAUUUACAUAAUGAUGGAUAUGACAUUAUGAACAGGAGUGUGAGUGGCUUUAAAUCAGCCACACUAGAAGAUCUACACCCAUCAUGGAUAAUGACACCCUCCAUGUCCACAGAGAUGGGGCUCUCCUCUCCCUCGUCCUUCCUAGCCUGUAUAUUCUAGCCCUUCUUUGAGAUCAUGUGCAAUUAGGGCAAACUGCAUACAGCUGGUUGGGAGGCGGGUCAGCAAUAUUCAACAAGCCCAAGAAUGGUGAAGCCGCAGCUGAACUCAUAGAGACGGUGGCAGUUUGGCUUGGAGAUAUAGUCUGUCAGAGCUGAGGAGGACAUGCUGCUUUAAACCCAAUGACUAGCUGCCCGUGGGCUGCCUCACAUGAGAAUGAGAACUCAACUACAUGGAGGCCUCUCUAAAGCCCAGCCUGGCUUCCAACUGUUCUGUUGAAGUGCAUUUGAGUGACAGGAUAAUCUAUAACAUCUACACGUUUUUAUUGUUAACUACUCAAGAAUCUAACCUAUAUCAUCUAUUAGUUACAAAUUAUGACCGGUAGGGUAGGUUAUAUAUGCUAAAAUUUAAUUGUAAAAUUAUUAACUAUGAAUUCCUUCAGUUUUCUCAGGAUUAUUUCUUUUCCUGAUGCUAGAGAAUCUGUUUAUAUAUUUCCUUAUAUAUCCAUAAAGUCAUACAAAACAAGAAAUCAUGGAAAAUGUAUUGAAAUGUAUAUGAAAUUUUAAUCUUUACACACUAUAUUUUGAUAGACUGAAAUUAUGUAAUAUAGUAAAAUUUUACAUAAGAAUAAACCUCUCUCUACUAGACAUAGCAAAGUUAGUUUUUCUAUCUACUAUUUGCUACACCUAAAGAUUAACUUCCAUGAAAUAAGAAAUCAAUGCUGCUAACUCUUUGGUCUCAGUCCAUGUGGGGAAUAGUAGGACACAAAUCAAUUUGCGUAUUUGAGUGUGUGUGUGAUGUAUGUACACAUAUAUGUACCAGUGCUUGUGGAGGUCAGGGGAUGCUGUCAGGUGUCUUCUCUAUCACUCUCCACGUUAUUCCUUAAGACAGCUCCUUUGACUAAGUUUGGUGGCCAGCAAAUCCCAGAAAUCCUCCUGUCCCUACCCCAUACAGUGAUACCAUUACAAGCCUGCCUGCAGCCAUGCCGGGGCUUUCAUAUCAGAACUCCUAGGCUCAUGCUUGCAAAGCUUACCCACAGGACCAUCUUCUUACCCCUCUCUUAGUACUGCCAAACUACUGUCCAGCAGUCCUGCCACUAUCCAUUUUCUCUGGGCGGUUAAAACAAACAGUAAAAUUUACCAGUUUAAUUCUUCAUUUUUUUUCCAUUCAACCUCCAGUUGAAUCACUCAUCCAAAAUGGUCAGCAUGAAAAACAGAAGAAAAGAAAAACAUAAUUCCUAUGAACUCUUCAAAAAAGGAAGUGAGACUUGGCUAAUCAAAAGGUGACUGUAGGUGGCCUGAUUAAAGUGGUAGUUCGGAUCUCUCUGCCUUCACCAGUGUACUCGAACUUGAACCUUGGCUCCUCUUCCUCUCUGCUCUCACCCUUCCUUAGCCAGGCACUGCUUUGGCAUUCUUUUCCAAUAUCAUCUAUUCACAGCCUCUCUGGCUCUUUUACUGUUGCCCAAAGGUUCCCCUAGUCUCCACUUGCUUAGGAUACCCCUACUUGAGCCUGGUGUCCUUCCUGCUCAUUACUGCUCUCCUGGCUGGCCCCUUACCUCUCAGUCCACAAUAACAGGUAGCUGAGAUGCCGGGGGCUAGGAAGAAAGGGAAGGUACCUUUUGGCUACAGAUGUGAUAAAUGGAUUUGUAAACUGAGCAUAAAAAAUGCAACAAAUCAAGAUGCAAAAUGUCAUAUAAGCAAAGAACGCAAAGAACUUUGGGAACUAUCUGCCCAGGUCAACAAGAAUUGACCAUGAUAACUGUAAAUAUUCUAAGUCUUAGGCAGUUUGGUUGCAACAACAAAGCACCAUAGACUGAGUAGGUUAAAUAACAGAAACUUAUUUGUCAGAGUUCUGGAGUCUGGGAACUUCAAAAUGAAGGUGCCAGUGUGUCUGUUCCUUAAAAAAACCUCUUUUUGGAUUUGAGACGGAUCCUAGCAUGACAGGGAAGUGAUGAUUCUUCUGGUGUCUUCUGUGGACCUUAAUCCUAUUCAGGAGGGCUCCACUGUCUUGACCUAAUUACUUCCUAAAGGUCUUACCUCCAAAUAACACCACUUGGAGGUUUAAAAGCAUCACUCUGAAUUUGGUGAGGGAGGGCACUGUAUUUCGUUCUUUUUAGUGCAUAUGCAUGCCAGAGCAAAUAGAGGGCAGACACAUCCCAGCAUUUCACUGUAGAAUCACUUCUCAGCUCUAUCCACAUGUAAGGCCUAUGGUUAUUUCUCUUCCAAGUUUUCACAUUCACCCAGUCCCCAAUAAAACCUCAGACACAGCUUCAUCAUGCUUUCAGGUUAUCAUUAUGCACCAACUUGUCUCCCUGCUCCAGUCACUUCUCUGUUUAAAUCAUAACACAUGAGGUAAUUGCAUAAAUUUCUCAAAAAUCUUCAUUUUAUUCUACCUCUCCUAGCUAAAAAUUGUUUGCUGAAUCCAUACUACUUUCAGAAUAAAAUUUAAACUCCUCAGUAUGAAAAACAAGGAUUUCUCAUAGGCCAGAAAGAUCAGGGCUGGUGUGGACGAGGCUGGGAGGUAAGACAUCAUCCAGCGAGGCUUUUAACUUCGCUCUGACAAGAAUUUCACUCAAGUACCACCCAGAGCUGUAGGGACACAUCUUGAACUGCUUAAAUCGCUUUUUCGAGAGGUCAUGUCAAAUCCUUUACCUUUUAUUCUUAAAUGAGGACCUAGAACUGGAGUUCAGAAGUUCAUUCUAGGAUGACCCUUUAGGGAGGAGCAAUACCAAUAGGAAAUGGGGAACGAUUUCAUGGUUUUAAACAGGGGUUUAUGUUUAGACUUAGAUUAUAAAAUCGCUUUGCAACAUAGACUACAACUGGAGAUGAGUUGGUACGCAGGGAUGCAGGAAGGAAAAGGCAGCAGAUAACUGCAGCCCCAGACAGAGAUGAUGGCUGUUAUGAUAGUAGUGGGGAUAGAUAGGCAGAUAUAAGUGAGAUUUGGGGUUAAACUAAGAGAAGGAUCAAAUCUGGAGGAUGAGACUAAAGAGAUAGUCUGGGGUGACACCUGGGUUUCUAGGCUCUACAAUAAGUCAGUGGGGGCAAUCAGUCACGGGAAGACACCAAAGUAGCACUUGUGGAAGCGCCACCAAAUAAACAACUGCAGGAAGGUAAGAUCAUACCAAACAGAGGCCACUCAGACAUUUACAUUUGUGAUUAUUGUAUAAGAACAAUGUCCUGGGCAUUUCUGUGUGAGUUAGUGGCUGAGAUCACUGAAAGGUGAAGAAAAGAUAGCUCCCGAGCAGCCACAGGAAGGUCAAAGAGCAGAUUGUGAGUCCUCAUCAACAACCAAACCAAUACUAACAGUUUUUUUAAUGUAAAUUUCAUAUGUGUUUGUGGGUAGGUGAGGUAGAAGUUGAAACAGGGUCUCACGCUGUAGCUCAGGUUGGCCUGGAACAAACUAUGUAUCCCAUGCUGGCCUUGAAUUUGCAUUGGUCUUCCUACUUCAGCUUUCUAAGUCCUGGGAUUAUAGAUAUGAGCCACCAUCUUUAGCUCAGGUUUUGGAUUAUGUGAAGGAAGGCGUGCCUACUUAAUAAAGCCAGUACUAGCUGACAUCUUUAUUAUAAGGAAUGUAUGAUGUUCCCCCCAAACAGCACAACCUAUUCUGUUAAGAGAAAUACAAAAAGAGAGAGAGAGAGAGAGAGAGAGAGAGAGAGAGAGAGAGAGAGAAAAUUGUCAAAUCAUCAUAAACAAGAUGUGUCUGUAGAGCAAGAGUGUCCUCAAGAAGAAAGGCUUUAGCAAGGAAUUAAGCAGGUAGAAUAUGGGAGCUUAAUAUGUGUUUGAGAAAUGGGACAUUCAGAGAAGGUAAUUUUCCAGGUUUAGAGAAAGAUCUCAGGAGGCCAAAGUGAUGAAGUGAUGAAGGAUCCAGGAAGGAUGAAAGACUGAUAUAAAAAUAUUUCAAAACUUCAUGAAAAUGAUGUCACAGAGCUAAAUCUGUUGGGAUGUGCUCAUGCAGGUUAAGUGUGCAUGAAUAGAUGUUAUGCGGAGGUCACAUGGCCAUGAAGGUCAUGUGAGCAUGAAGGUGGGCGUGGAGGUUAAGAGGGCAUGGAAGUCAGGUGGCCAUGAAGGGCAGGGUUACAUUUUUUGCCUUGAGCAUCACAGUACAAACAGCAACUUGGUCUUUAUGUUGUUCUGAGUGCUAGAACCCUGUUACCUUCUCUUGGAGACUAUCAGGUUGCACCCUGAUAGGAAAGAAAAGAGAAAUGUCACCCCUUUGGCCCCCAUAGAGAAUCAACAUGCAGAUUCAAAGCUGCAUAAUGAAACCUGGCAGUUUCUCUAAAUUCCCUUCUAAUCUCUCCAGGGGCAGGAAAAGAAGAAGCCCUUUGUGGAGUUUGAUUGUGGGCCACGGGGCCUGCUAGAACACGGUGAAGGAGGCAUCUUGCCCUCUGUUCUAUAAUUGGCCCAUAAGGGCUGUUACCUCCCAAAGGAAGCUGAUGUACCCCUCCCUGAGCCCUAGUAGUCCCAAAGCAGAGUGACAGCCAGUGUGCUUGCUAGAUCAUCUAGGUUGCCGUAGCAACAGGCUUGCCCCUGGAGCCAUGGGUUGAUGGCAAAAUGAUUAGGCCUCUCUUAAAGGUUGCAGCUUCAGGUUUUACCAAGAAAUCAGAACAGGUGGGUGGCCCUAAAGCCCCAGAGCCAAGCUUGUUCAUGGCAGAAAAUUUACUUCAAGGGGUCAAACGGCUAGCGUAUGAGCAGGAGCUGCGUUCAACCAUGGAUGGGAACAGAAGGCACAGUUAGUCAGCAAGUCUGAGAGCCACGCCUAGGAUGGAUUUUGUGGCAGGAAAUUGAGGAUACGGUAGAGUAAGAGUAAGGGAAGGGCCAGAGUGUAUGAAAUUUCCUUUCUUUGGCUAUUGGCUGUACAGUGUAGUAGAUGAGCUGAAUUAAUAGCCAGAGACUCUAGACAUCCUCAUGGCUCCCAGCCAUGUGAAUCCAGUGCUAGCUUGUUUUCAUUCAUUUUUAUACUCUGAGUUGAGGAAAUCCAGUUCUGGUGGUUCUUUAGGAUGUCACCCUCAGUUUUCAUUCAAUCUUUGGGUGGGAAUAAGCGUGUGAAUGUGUGUGUACCUGUGUGCAUGUGUGUGGAGGCCAACAGUGGGUGUCAUUCCUAAGGUAACAUUCCUUAUAUUUUUUCAGACAAUAUUUCUCAAUUCCUUCGGGCUAGACAACCAGGCAAUGUUGGCUAGCCAGUGUGCCCAAGGGAUCAUCCCAUAUCCACCUCCCUAAUGCUGAGAUUACAGUCAACAAUAUCACUUGAGUAGAAUUCUGUACAGUGUGGACAAUUAGACACACUUCCUAGCUAAGCUAUAAUUCUCCGGUAGGACCGACACCUACUGUCCAUCACAGCUUGGAUCUAUUGGAAUAUAAAUGCUAUCAGGGAAGGGUCUUUGAGAGUUUAUCCUUGAAUUCUUAACAUGGAGCGGGUACCUGAGUAUGACUGUUUUGGAUUGGGUUUUCAUUUUGCUUUAUUUUUAAGACAAAGCCUUAACUUUGUAUCCCCACAUGAACUUGAAUUUGCCAUUCUUCUGCCUCCAUUUCCCAAGAGUUGCAAUUGUGGGCAUUUGCCACCACAGCCUGUAAAUAAGUAGGAUCUUAAUAAAAAUACAUUGAGGAAAUGAUUGAUCAAACAGGUCAUUGACAACCUUCUUAGCCUUUGCAUACUCCAAUUGCAGGACUCUUCAUCAACAUUUUCAUUGGUCCUUUUCUUACUUGGGGGUAGAUAUUAGAACUCAAACAUCCCAACUAAUUGUCACCAAGUAUGUUAGUGAUUAGAAAGUAUUAAUACUAUCCCUGGGUGAACUCUUGGACACUAAUGCCAGCCUGGAGUAUGACAAGAUUCAAGAUUCCAAACCUACUUUUAACCAUCACAGUGAUAGCGUCCACGUGCCCGCAUCAGUGACCACAGUACUUAUCUACAGAUCUCCCUCUUCCUGAAUGGAGAACUUGUCAUCCUUCACAAGCAAAGACUGUGGACCUUAUGAGAGUUAUGGCAAGACCUGGGGUGCAGCUCAUUGGUAAAGUGUUUUCACAGCAUGCACAAAGACAUAUGUUCAUCCUGUAGGACAGAGAGGGGGAAAUUUUCCCUUCUGGCAGGUCUCGUGGUCUACCUGUAAUCUCAACACCCACAUAGGAGGAGGGAGGGGAGGACAGAAAGAAGGAGGUAUGGAAGAGGGCUGACCUAGAGUGAUACAGUCACACCCUGAUUCACAACUGAAGACAGAUGGCUCUCCACGUUGUCUGAGGCAGGGGCUCUGACUGAACUUGAACCUGCAUUUGGAGCUGCCCCAGAGAUGCCUUGUCUCUACUUCCCAAAAACUGUGACUGACAGAUUAAUGGCCCUUCUAAAAUAGAAAAUUGAAUCAGGAUUAUUUAUUUCAUCUGCAAAAGCCUGCUGGUGAGCAGUGUGGAAUUUUUCUUUCCUUCUGAUAAUGGUGUAAACUGGCAAAGAUCUAAGAAAACCAGAGGGCAAUGAGAGUUUUCAACUCUGCCGUGUUGAAGCGAAGUAGCCAUACAUCCAGCUGAACACAGCCUCUGAACAGCCCAGCAGAGACAGACUUGCGCCUGCAAACUGCAGAACCCUAGUUCUGUAGUGAACCCUGGUCACGUGACCAUGACUGAGAGCACAUUUUGGAGAGUUUAACCACGCCGAAUCCCAGGGAAGUGGGAACGAUUUCCCUCAUUUUAGGUGGCCUUCUGCUGUUUGUUCUUAGAUUGUUUUAGAGAAUACACUGCCAGUGAAACAUCAAAAUGAAAAUGACUAUGCCAGACGUGUGGUGGCUCAUUCUUGUAUUCGCAGCAGUGGGGCCACUGAAGUAGGGGGUUUGGGAUUUGAGACCAGGCUGGGCUUCAUAGGGAGACCCUGUCUCAACAACAACAAAUCAAAAAGAAAGAAAAGCCAUGGAAAAGUUAGCUUUGUUAGAGGGUUAUAAAUAGUACAUGGUCAUAGCGUUCAGGGGGGAAAGCUAAUUACAAAGUACAGAGAUCAGGCUUAUCCAAAUUUGGGCCCAUUUUUAUUUGCCAUAUUUGUAUAUAUUUCCUAAGUGUUCUAACAAUAACACAAAAGCAACAUGACUGUUGAAGUUUAAGGUGGGACAUUUCUUGUUUUCAGGAGCCUUAUACUGAUUCCAUAAAUAUUGUUGACCAGGAUCCUUAAGUAUGCUCUAGAUCCUUGGGAAAUGAUUGUCACCUCUAAAGAGUUUUUUUCUAAAGGACCAGAGAGGGCUGCAGCAGCUGUUGAAAAUGGUUUGUGAUCUUUUCUAGUUCCCACCAUUUGCCUGAAAAUUUCAUGAUUUCCUUGUUUUUAAUUGCUGAGUAGUAUUCCAUUGUAUAAAUAUACCAUAAUUUCUGUAUCCACUCAUCAAUUGGGGGACAUCUGGGUUGUUUCUGGCAAUUACAAAUAAAACUGCCAUGAACAUGG